rnacentral:snRNA from 1 species
UUACUUACCUGGAAGGGGAGACAACGUGAUCACAUAGGUGGUUUUCCCAGGGUGAGGCUCAUCCCUUGCACUCCAGGUGUGCUAACGCCAGCCCUCUCCCCAAAUGCUUGUGGUAGAGGGGAACUGGAUUCACUCUCUCCAUU